UCCUUCUGGGAAGCUCGUUCAGAUCGAAUAUGCCUUAAUGGCCGUCGGUUCUGGCCAGACAUCUCUAGGGAUUAAAGCUGCAAAUGGUGUUGUUAUUGCUACAGAGAAGAAAUUACCAUCGAUCUUAGUAGAUGAAAUAUCUGUUCAAAAGAUUCAGCUUUUGACCCCAAAUAUUGGAGUUGUUUACAGUGGCAUGGGUCCUGAUUUUCGAGUUCUGGUCCGGAAGAGUCGGAAGCAGGCACAACAGUAUUACAGACUAUACAAAGAACAGAUUCCUGUUACACAACUUGUUAGAGAAACAGCAGCUGUUAUGCAGGAGUUCACUCAAUCUGGUGGUGUAAGGCCUUUUGGAGUUUCACUGCUCGUUGCUGGGUUUGAUGCCGAUGGUCCACAAUUAUAUCAGGUGGACCCAUCUGGGUCAUACUUUUCAUGGAAAGCUUCUGCGAUGGGGAAGAAUGUCUCUAAUGCUAAGUCAUUUCUUGAGAAGAGGUACACUGAUGAUAUGGAGCUUGAUGAUGCGGUGCAUACUGCGAUUUUGACACUAAAAGAGGGGAUGAUGGUUAAAUACCAAUGUUUGGAGACCCAAUCAGAGAGGACCUUGAGUUUGGCUUAGUUAAAUGGGUGCAAUCAUAGUUUUUAAGGCGCUGCUAAGGCGUCGCCUUACUAGCACCUUGGCGUUGAUGCAGUCUAGAGAUGGUUUGAAGGACAGAUUUCAGCAAAGAACAUUGAGAUUGGGAUUAUUGGCACCGACGGAAAUUUCAGAGUUUUGACUCCAUCUGAAAUUGACGAUUACUUGGGUGAAGUGGAGUAGCUGGUUUUUAUCUAUAUCCUUCAACAUGUUGCUGAAAUUGCUUCUGACGCAGUCCUCACAUGUUUUCCGGCUUUAAUGUAAACUGCAAGGAGCGGAUUUUCUUGUGGUCUUAACCUUUGGUUCUCCUGUUUUGUAGUUGUGCUGCUGGUAGGGAAUUAGUGAUUGCUUUUGUUGUACUUUUAUUAACGAUUUCACAUGAUGAAUCUCCACCCACUUUGACCAAUGCGUUGGUGUUUGAAAGUUUGCUUAUAAAGAGGAAAACAAAAAAAAUAAUAAAUAGGAAAAGUCUUUGCACCCUGCGGGGUUUCCCA